rnacentral:rRNA from 1 species
AUGUAACGGGGCUAAACCAUGCACCGAAGCUGCGGCAGCGACACUAUGUGUUGUUGGGUAGGGGAGCGUUCUGUAAGCCUGUGAAGGUGGCCUGUGAGGGUUGCUGGAGGUAUCAGAAGUGCGAAUGCUGACAUAAGUAACGAUAAAGCGGGUGAAAAGCCCGCUCGCCGGAAGACCAAGGGUUCCUGUCCAACGUUAAUCGGGGCAGGGUGAGUCGACCCCUAAGGCGAGGCCGAAAGGCGUAGUCGAUGGGAAACAGGUUAAUAUUCCUGUACUUGGUGUUACUGCGAAGGGGGGACGGAGAAGGCUAUGUUGGCCGGGCGACGGUUGUCCCGGUUUAAGCGUGUAGGCUGGUUUUCCAGGCAAAUCCGGAAAACCAAGGCUGAGGCGUGAUGACGAGGCACUACGGUGCUGAAGCGACAAAUGCCCUGCUUCCAGGAAAAGCCUCUAAGCAUCAGGUAACAUCAAAUCGUACCCCAAACCGACACAGGUGGUCAGGUAGAGAAUACCAAGGCGCUUGAGAGAACUCGGGUGAAGGAACUAGGCAAAAUGGUGCCGUAACUUCGGGAGAAGGCACGCUGAUAUGUAGGUGAAGCGACUUGCUCGUGGAGCUGAAAUCAGUCGAAGAUACCAGCUGGCUGCAACUGUUUAUUAAAAACACAGCACUGUGCAAACACGAAAGUGGACGUAUACGGUGUGACGCCUGCCCGGUGCCGGAAG